UACGUAGGGUGCAAGCGUUUAAUCGGAAUUACUGGGCGUAAAGCGUGCGCAGGCGGUUUUGUAAGUCUGUCGUGAAAUCCCCGGGCUCAACCUGGGAAUUGCGAUGGAGACUGCAAGGCUAGAAUCUGGCAGAGGGGGGUAGAAUUCCACGUGUAGCAGUGAAAUGCGUAGAGAUGUGGAGGAACACCGGAUGGCGAAGGCAGCCCCCUGGGUCAAGAUUGACGCUCAUGCACGAA
rnacentral:rRNA from 1 species